CUCUAACCAGAUGAGUAUGCC
rnacentral:siRNA from 1 species